rnacentral:tRNA from 1 species
GCAGCCGUGGCCUACUGGUUAGGGCUUCAGGCUUGUAACCGAAGGGUUGCCGGUUCGAUCCCCGAACAGUAGGA